rnacentral:rRNA from 1 species
UACGUAGGGUGCGAGCGUUAAUCGGAAUUACUGGGCGUAAAGCGUGCGCAGGCGGUUUUGUAAGCCAGAUGUGAAAUCCCCGGACUCAACCUGGGAAUGGCAUUUGGGACUGCAAGGCUGGAGUGCGGCAGAGGAGACUGGAAUUCCUGGUGUAGCAGUGAAAUGCGUAGAUAUCAGGAGGAAUACCGAUGGCGAAGGCAGGUCUCUGGGCUGACACUGACGCUCAUGCACGAAAGCGUGGGGAGCAAACAGG